GAUGAACGCUGGCGGCGUGCUUAACACAUGCAAGUCGAACGAAGCACUUUAUUUGAUUUCCUUCGGGACUGAUUAUUUUGUGACUGAGUGGCGGACGGGUGAGUAACGCGUGGGUAACCUGCCUUGUACAGGGGGAUAACAGUUGGAAACGGCUGCUAAUACCGCAUAAGCGCCCAGCAUCGCAUGAUGCAGUGUGAAAAACUCCGGUGGUAUAAGAUGGACCCGCGUUGGAUUAGCUAGUUGGUGAGGUAACGGCCCACCAAGGCGACGAUCCAUAGCCGACCUGAGAGGGUGACCGGCCACAUUGGGACUGGGACACGGCCCAAACUCCUACGGGAGGCAGCAGUGGGGAAUAUUGCACAAUGGGCGAAAGCCUGAUGCAGCGACGCCGCGUGAGCGAAGAAGUAUUUCGGUAUGUAAAGCUCUAUCAGCAGGGAAGAUAAUGACGGUACCUGACUAAGAAGCACCGGCUAAAUACGUG
rnacentral:rRNA from 1 species